AGUCCAUUUGCGAAGUGUUGUUGCUGGUGUACCAACAAUAGACUUGACUCUGGCGUUCAGCUUCUUUCUUGUUUCUUUUUCUCCAACUCUGACAUUUUGGUGCCGAAGCCCGGGACCAGUCUCUUCCUCGCUUUAGUCUCCCUCCGUACAACCUCGGAAGCAGUGGGCAGCGGCAGCUGGCCCGGGCUAACUCCCAGACUCUGAGGUUUGGCUGAUGUUAGUUCUUGGAGGAUUACCCAGUUGAAAACCAUCAGCCAGGAAGUGACUUUACCAUCUCUGCCUGCUCUUAGAUCUUCUGAUUGUAAGGUCUCAAUUAUGACCCAGGAAAUCAUUCUCUGGACCAAGUGGGAGUAAAUAGCAGGUAAGAAACAAACAAGACACAUCAUGCUUUUGCCUUGGACUUCUUUGGAUCAGUGAUUUCUUCUUUAAGAGUUCUGGCAAG